CCAGACUCCUACGGGAGGCAGCAGUGGGGAAUAUUGCACAAUGGGGGAAACCCUGAUGCAGCGACGCCGCGUGAGUGAAGAAGUAUUUCGGUAUGUAAAGCUCUAUCAGCAGGGAAGAAAUAGCGACCUUUGGGUCGCCAGACGGUACCUGAUUAAGAAGCCCCGGCUAACUACGUGCCAGCAGCCGCGGUAAUACGUAGGGGGCAAGCGUUAUCCGGAUUUACUGGGUGUAAAGGGAGCGUAGACGGUAAUGCAAGUCUGGAGUGAAAGGCGGGGGCCCAACCCCCGGACUGCUCUGGAAACUGUGUAACUGGAGUGCAGGAGAGGCAGGCGGAAUUCCUAGUGUAGCGGUGAAAUGCGUAGAUAUUAGGAGGAACACCAGUGGCGAAGGCGGCCUGCUGGACUGUAACUGACGUUGAGGCUCGAAAGCGUGGGGAGCAAACAGGAUUAGAUACCCGAGUA
rnacentral:rRNA from 1 species